rnacentral:rRNA from 1 species
UACGGGGGGGGCAAGCGUUGUUCGGAAUCACUGGGCGUAAAGCGCACGUAGGCGGAUUUGUCAGUCAGGGGUGAAAUCCCGGGGCUCAACCUCGGAACUGCCUUUGAUACAGCAAGUCUUGAGUUCGAGAGAGGUGGGUGGAAUUCCUAGUGUAGAGGUGAAAUUCGUAGAUAUUAGGAAGAACACCGGUGGCGAAGGCGGCCCACUGGCUCGAUACUGACGCUGAGGUGCG